GAUGAGAACGUAGCGAAAUGCGAUACGUAAUGUGAAUUGCAGAAUUCAGUGAAUCAUCGAGACUUUGAACGCACAUUGCGCCCCCUGGUAUUCCGGGGGGCAUGCCUGUCCGAGCGUCAUUGCUGCCCUCAAGCACGGCUUGUGUGUUGGGCCUCCGUCCUCCUCCCGGGGGACGGGCCCGAAAGGCAGCGGCGGCACCGCGUCCGGUCCUCGAGCGUAUGGGGCUUCGUCACCCGCUCUUGUAGGCCCGGCCGGCGCUUGCCGACACAUCAAUCUUUUUUCCAGGUUGACCUCGGAUCAGGUAGGGAUACCCGCUGAACUUAAGCAUAUCAAUAAGCGGAGGA
rnacentral:misc_RNA from 1 species